GACGUAGGGCGCGAGCGUUGUCCGGAUUUAUUGGGCGUAAAGAGCUCGUAGGCGGCUUGUCGCGUCGUCCGUGAAAACCCACGGCUUAACUGUGGCUUGCGGUCGAUACGGGCAGGCUAGAGUUCGGUAGGGGAGACUGGAAUUCCUGGUGUAGCGGUGAAAUGCGCAGAUAUCGGGAAGAACACCCGUGGCGAAGGCGGUUCUCUGGGACGGUACUGACGCUGAGACGCGAAAGCGUGGGGAGCGAACAGG
rnacentral:rRNA from 1 species